rnacentral:rRNA from 1 species
AUUUUGGACAAUGGGCGAAAGCCUGAUCCAGCCAUGCCGCGUGUAUGAAGAAGGCCUUCGGGUUGUAAAGUACUUUUGUUAGGGAAGAAAAGCUUGUUGCUAAUAUCAGCAAGUCAUGACGGUACCUAAAGAAUAAGCACCGGCUAACUACGUGCCAGCAGCCGCGGUAAUACGUAGGGUGCAAGCGUUAAUCGGAAUUACUGGGCGUAAAGCGAGCGCAGGCGGUUAUUUAAGUCAGGUGUGAAAGCCCCGAGCUCAACUUGGGACGUGCAUUUGAAACUGGAUAACUAGAGUGUGUCAGAGGGGGGUAGAAUUCCACGUGUAGCAGUGAAAUGCGUAGAGAUGUGGAGGAAUACCGAUGGCGAAGGCAGCCCCCUGGGAUAACACUGACGCUCAUGCUCGAAAGCGUGGGUAGCAAAC